ensembl:lncRNA
AUGAUACACAUCAAAAAAAUGAUUCAUCAGAUUGACUCUUCAUCUUGUAAAAGAAUCCCAGUGACCUCCCCCUGCAAGGAAGAGAACCGGGGGUAUAUUCCCACCACGGGCAUGCUCUUCCUCACUUGCUUCUCUGGAUACACAUGCACACGGGCAGAGAAAUGUCCCGGUGCUGUUGAGAAGAAGCUAUGGUAUCAAACCUGCCAGAUUUGGUGUUGCAAAGUACCCUCCUGCCUUCCUGCCAAAGGCCCUGUAGUACAAAAUGCCCUCCUGUCACCACUGUUGCUGCAAGGCCUGCUUUCCAAGCAGCUUACCUGCAACACAGGACUCACGGUGGUGUCUCGGGAGAACAGCAAACCUGAAGCUUUCCCCUGCCAAGACAAGAAAUGGGGGGAGAAAACCGAGGGCAGAACACGAAUCCAACCAGGAGCAGAGGAAACCACCACUGAAAAGCAGAGGCAAACUGAGUCUCACCAUCUCACGCUGCUCUCAGCGAGCAAAUCCAGAUCCACACACGCGGCCACGCAGCCCCGCUCUGCACGGACUCGGUUCCUGCAGCACAGGAACCCUUUCAGCACUCUGAGGACAGAUUUCCUUCUGGAAAUCCGCUCUCAUCAGCCUCUGAGCAUCCCAGGGCUGACACCCGGGAGGCAGCAGCCUGUUGGAGGAGACACAGAGGGGACGUGGGGAGGGCUGGGGGUGGUGGCCGCAGCACUUCACCUGCUGGUCGUUCCCACGGCCCCCACCCCUGAUGCUGCAGCAAUGUGCUGGUGUGAAGCCACUCAGGUGGCCUUGAGAUUAUGGGAGACAGAAAAUGGGCGUAAACUGUGUCUUAGUCAGGGGUGCCCCAUUAGGAGUGUGACGGGAUUCUUCUCUUCCCUUGAAAAGGCCAGAAUAAAUACUAGGUCAAAAAUCUCUCCUUGCCCUUUUAGUGGAAGAAAUGGUUUGCCAUCAGGGGAAAUAUCUCACCAAGGAAGAGGGGAGAGAGAAGAGGCGAUGCAGCGACCAUAG